AGCGAACGCUGGCGGCAGGCUUAACACAUGCAAGUCGAGCGGACGUAGCAAUACGUCAGCGGCAGACGGGUGAGUAACGCGUGGGAGCGUACCUUUUGGUUCGGAACAACACAGGGAAACUUGUGCUAAUACCGAAUAAGCCCUUACGGGGAAAGAUUUAUCACCGAAAGAUCGGCCCGCGUCGGAUUAGCGAGUUGGUGGGGUAACGGCCCACCAAGGCGACGAUCAGUAGCUGGUCUGAGAGGAUGAUCAGCCACAUUGGGACUGAGACACGGCCCAAACUCCUACGGGAGGCAGCAGUGGGGAAUAUUGGACAAUGAGCGCAAGCCUGAUCCAGCCAUGCCGCGUGAGUGAUGAAGGCCCUAGGGUUGUAAAGCUCUUUUGUGCGGGAAGAUAAUGACGGUACCGCAAGAAUAAGCCCCGGCAAACUCUGUGCCAGCCGCCGCCGUAAAAC
rnacentral:rRNA from 1 species